GAAUGGAUUAAGAGCUUGCUCUUAUGAAGUUAGCGGCGGACGGGUGAGUAACACGUGGGUAACCUACCCAUAAGACUGGGAUAACUCCGGGAAACCGGGGCUAAUACCGGAUAAUAUUUUGAACUGCAUAGUUCGAAAUUGAAAGGCGGCUUCGGCUGUCACUUAUGGAUGGACCCGCGUCGCAUUAGCUAGUUGGUGAGGUAACGGCUCACCAAGGCGACGAUGCGUAGCCGACCUGAGAGGGUGAUCGGCCACACUGGGACUGAGACACGGCCCAGACUCCUACGGGAGGCAGCAGUAGGGAAUCUUCCGCAAUGGACGAAAGUCUGACGGAGCAACGCCGCGUGAGUGAUGAAGGCUUUCGGGUCGUAAAACUCUGUUGUUAGGGAAGAACAAGUGCUAGUUGAAUAAGCUGGCACCUUGACGGUACCUAACCAGAAAGCCACGGCUAACUACGUGCCAGCAGCCGCGGUAAUACGUAGGUGGCAAGCGUUAUCCGGAAUUAUUGGGCGUAAAGCGCGCGCAGGUGGUUUCUUAAGUCUGAUGUGAAAGCCCACGGCUCAACCGUGGAGGGUCAUUGGAAACUGGGAGACUUGAGUGCAGAAGAGGAAAGUGGAAUUCCAUGUGUAGCGGUGAAAUGCGUAGAGAUAUGGAGGAACACCAGUGGCGAAGGCGACUUUCUGGUCUGUAACUGACACUGAGGCGCGAAAGCGUGGGGAGCAAACAGGAUUAGAUACCCUG
rnacentral:rRNA from 1 species